rnacentral:rRNA from 1 species
GACGAACGCUGGCGGCGUGCUUAACACAUGCAAGUCGAACGGUGAAGCGCCUUCCUUUUUGGUGGGUGUGGAUGAGUGGCGAACGGGUGAGUAACACGUGAGUAACCUGCCCCCUUCUUCUGGAUAACCGCAUGAAAGUGUGGCUAAUACGGGAUAUUCUGGGUCUGUCGCAUGAUGGGUCCGGGAAAGAUAUUGUUUCGGUGGGGGAUGGGCUCGCGGCCUAUCAGCUUGUUGGUGGGGUGAUGGCCUACCAAGGCGGUGACGGGUAGCCGGCCUGAGAGGGUGGACGGUCACACUGGGACUGAGACACGGCCCAGACUCCUACGGGAGGCAGCAGUGGGGAAUAUUGCACAAUGGGCGCAAGCCUGAUGCAGCGACGCCGCGUGAGGGAUGGAGGCCUUCGGGUUGUGAACCUCUUUCGCCAGUGAAGCAGGCCUGCCUCGUUUGUGGGUGGGUUGACGGUGGCUGGAUAAGAAGCGCCGGCUAACUACGUG